rnacentral:rRNA from 1 species
UGAGGAAUAUUGGUCAAUGGUCGCUAGACUGAACCAGCCAAGUAGCGUGCGGGAUGAAGGCCCUCCGGGUCGUAAACCGCUUUUUAGACGGGGAUAAAAGGGCGUACGUGUACGCCGUAUUGCAUGUACCGUCAGAAAAACGGACCGGCUAAUUCCGUGCCAGCAGCCGCGGUAAUACGGAAGGUCCGGGCGUUAUCCGGAUUUAUUGGGUUUAAAUGGGAGCGUAGGCGGACUUUCAAGUCAGUGGUAAAAUUCGUGUGGCUCAACCAUACCUCGCCAUUGAAACUGGAAGUCUGGAGUGCACACAGGGGCUGCCGGAAUUCAUGGUGUAGCGGUGAAAUGCUUAGAUAUCAUGAAGAACUCCGAUCGCGAAGGCAAGUGCCCGGGGUGCAACUGACGCUGAGGCUCGAAGGUGCGGGUUAUCGAACAGGAUUAGAUACC